GACUCAGCCCCAAACACAUGAUGUCAUCGUGUGGGGUGGGGGUGGAGGGGAGAACGCCCUGCCUACAGCAGGUCUGGCGCCCCAGUUCCAAGGGGAUCAGAGGAAGAAGCAGCAAAUGAAUGAAUGACCAAGUUUCUAAAAUAUUGAAGCUGAGUAUCAAGCCUCCUUCUCCCACCCUCGCAAAAAACAGCACAAACCUAACCAGCCUAAGACCCCAGCUCUGGGAACCCCCUCUUCCAGAGGCUUCCUGAGGCCUGUGUGACUGAACGCAUGCAGACUUGCUUUGCCAUCAGCAGAUGGGGCAAUUGUCAGCCAAUGAAUAGCCUAUUGCUCAAUAGAUUAGAGUGGAAAGUGGGCCUUCACCGCUCAAAAGGUGGCACCAGGCCACCAAACGGCACGCCCAGAUGAAAGGCUCCAGGGAGCAGAGCUCCUCUAAAAUGUCACCAUCUGGACUGACACGAGGGUGAGGCUGAUGAGUCAAAGAGCAGGGGCGUGUGGAGGAGAGGAACGCAGGAAUCGGUGUCAGGAGGCCUGGACUGAAGUGCCUGCCCCACCGCUUACUGGAUGGCCUUGACAGCGGUGCGACCUCUCUGAACUUCAGCUCCCUCAUCUGUAAAGCGCAGAUGGUCAUCUCCGCCCCUGCGACAUCCACAGAGCUGAUAUAUCGCUGGAAUGAGAUAAGGUCAAGACUGUUCAUCUAAAUCUGGCACAAGAGAAGCUGGUGUUUGAAGCCAUUGGAACAAGAUGAAAAUAGCUCCCCAGCCUCCCUCUCCCUCGCCUUUCCAGCUCCAGCACCUGACACAGAAGUCACCGGGCCUGCGGCCAGGGCUCGUAGUCCAGACCGUGGUGAAGUUGCCAAGGAGGCUCCCCUGUUAGUUUUGGAUCCACAAGUGAGGCUGGGCCUCGGGCUGCUGGGCUCCACUUGGCCCACAGGCCCCAAACACCUGAGAUGUGAAAGACAGCAUAUGUGGGGCUCUGAUCACCCCGUGUGAGGGCACCAGAUGAACAAACUGAAUGACGUGCCAUCAGCCGUGGGCUUGGAGGAGACCUGUGUCCGGCCGGCAAUUUUUUUCCCGCCUUUUCUACCACAAAGCCAUGUAACAGGCUGGAGCCAUCAAUAAGGUACCGCCCAGGACUGUGCAGGGUCUGGCUGCCCCGAAAUCAAAUCAGAUCAGUGAAAUGAACCCAGCCAUGCCCCACUGUCGGGGGUAAACUGGACCAACAAGGUGCUUGAGGACAGUUUGGAGCAAUCACGCGGGAAGGACCACUGCUCUCCAAGGACCACUGCUGUCUAUUUCGAAGUUGGCACCAAGGGAGGCUCCCUUUAUUCCACUAGGGAUCUCAGCUGGUCACGUUGGAACCACCUGGGGGCUUCAACGUCCUGUUGCUGGUCGACCCCUGGAGGUUCCGACUGAACUAUGCAGGUGGGGCCAGGGCAAGGGGAAUGUUUUCAGAUCUCACCAGGUGGUUCUAACAAACAGAGAAUCACUGCUUUCAGACUUUUGGGAGCUCUUCCUGUAGAAAUGCCUGCAAAGUCUAUGGCUCCCUUGAAUCUUGUCAACAGUAGCCUAUCUCCUUCCCAUAAAGAUAGACUGAAUUUUGUAAAGGCAGCUCAAGUCAUUCAGAACUGAAACUUUAGAAUACGAGUGAAAUACCAGUUUUGUCCCAAACAGGAUGAGAAACGUCUGAGAUGCACCUGGGUUCCUCAUGUGGCUCCCCGGGUGGUUUCCAAGGUGAUAAUUCACUGAGCACCUACCACACACCAGGGGUUACACUGGGGUCAGAGCUCUCAAGGACAUCAGAGCCGCUUCUCCAGACUGCUGGGGACCAAGACCCAGGCCUUGGAUGUCCCUACUACUGAGGCUUCCUCACACUGGUGUCUGUUCGAGGGACUUUGUGAAAUGCCUUGUCCCCCUCCUGCCACACGGAGCUGUGGCCUCAAAAUGUUCCUGGUUUCCAAGGCAAAGGUGCUCUAUGAUCAGCAUCUACCAGAGUGCAUUUGAUCCCAAGCCGUGGCCUGGGGUUCAGGGUAAGUGACCUCCCGUCCCCUCUGUCAUGCCCACCCGCAGGUCCUGCCCACUUUGCCUCAUCUCUUGAUGGAAGGGUCCCAGAAAUAGGUUCUAGAAAAGCAAGCAAAGUGUCAGAGAGGAACAAAACUCAGACUGACAAGGGGAAAGGGAUCACGUGACUUGACUUUUCUCAAUAAUGCUGUGUUUUGACUGCUGGUUUCACUCUGUAACCUUAGCAGGUUUCUGAAUACCUCUAGACCUCAGUUUCCCUGACUGUGAAUAAAGGAG